rnacentral:rRNA from 1 species
UACGUAGGGGGCUAGCGUUGUCCAGAAUCAUUGGGCGUAAAGAGCGCGUAGGCGGCUAGAUAAGUCCGGUGUGAAAGUCACGAGGCUCAACCUGUGAAUGCCGCUGGAAACGUGUCUGGCUAGAGGUCCGGAAGGGGCGAGUGGAAUUCCUGGUGUAGCGGUGAAAUGCGCAGAUAUCAGGAGGGAACACCGGUGGGCGAAGGCGGGUCUCUGGGC